UACGUAGGCCGCAAGCGUUGUUCGGAAUUACUGGGCGUAAAGCGCGUGUAGGCGGCUCGAUAAGUCUGCUGUGAAAGUUCAGGGCUCAACCCUGAAAUGCCGGUGGAAACUGUCGGGCUAGAGUCCGGAAGAGGCGAGUGGAAUUCCUGGUGUAGCGGUGAAAUGCGCAGAUAUCAGGAGGAACACCAAUGGCGAAGGCAGCUCGCUGGGACGGUACUGACGCUGAGACGCGAAAGCGUGGGGAGCAAACAGG
rnacentral:rRNA from 1 species